rnacentral:tRNA from 1 species
GCCUGGGUGGCUCAGUCAGUUGAGCGUCUGACUUCGGCUCAGGUCAUGAUCUCACGGUUCGUGAGUUCGAGCCCCACGUCGGGCU